rnacentral:rRNA from 1 species
CGAGUUUACAACUCCCAAACCCCUGUGAACAUACCACUUGUUGCCUCGGCGGAUCAGCCCGCUCCCGGUAAAACGGGACGGCCCGCCAGAGGACCCCUAAACUCUGUUUCUAUAUGUAACUUCUGAGUAAAACCAUAAAUAAAUCAAAACUUUCAACAACGGAUCUCUUGGUUCUGGCAUCGAUGAAGAACGCAGCAAAAUGCGAUAAGUAAUGUGAAUUGCAGAAUUCAGUGAAUCAUCGAAUCUUUGAACGCACAUUGCGCCCGCCAGUAUUCUGGCGGGCAUGCCUGUUCGAGCGUCAUUUCAACCCUCAAGCACAGCUUGGUGUUGGGACUCGCGUUAAUUCGCGUUCCUCAAAUUGAUUGGCGGUCACGUCGAGCUUCCAUAGCGUAGUAGUAAAACCCUCGUUACUGGUAAUCGUCGCGGCCACGCCGUUAAACCCCAACUUCUGAAUGUUGACCUCGGAUCAGGUAGGAAUACCCGCUGAACUUAAGCAUAUCAA